GCGKRAAAGCUCAAAUUUGAAAUCUGGCAGUCUUUUUUUUCUUCUUUGGCUGUCCGAGUUGUAAUCUAGAGAAGUGCUUACCUGCACUGGACCAUGUAUAAGUCUCCUGGAAUGGAGCGUCGCAGAGGGUGAGAAUCCCGUCUUUGACAUGGACUGCCAGUGUGUUGUGGUGUGCUCUCAAAGAGUCGAGUUGUUUGGGAAUGCAGCUCUAAAUGGGUGGUAAACUCCAUCUAAAGCUAAAUAUUGGCGAGAGACCGAUAGUGAACAAGUACCGUGAGGGAAAGAUGAAAAGGACUUUGGAAAGAGAGUUAAACAGUAUGUGAAAUUGUUGAAAGGGAAACGCUUGAAGUCAGUUAUGUUGGCUAGGGAUCAACCUAGCUGUUUUUUUGCUGGGUGAAUUUCCUAGUCUGACAGGCCAACAUCAGUCUUGACUGCUGGAAAAGAGCAGAGGGAAUGUGGCACCUUUGGGUGUGUUAUAGCCUUUUGUCAUAUGUGGCAGUUGGGACUGAGGGAUGCAGCAUGCCGCGAGGCUGGGUUUCUGACCACGUUCAUGCUCAGGAUGUUGGCUUUUAAUGGCUUCAAUCGACCCGUCUUGAAACACGGACCAAGGAGUCUAACAUGCCUGCGAGUGUUUGGGUGGGGAAAACCCUUGUGCACAAUGAAAGUGAAAGUUGAGAUCCCUGUCAUGGGGAGCAUCGACGCCCGGACCUGAGCUUUUAGCAAUGGAUCCGCGGUAGAGCAUGCAUGUUGGGACCCGAAAGAUGGUGAACUAUGCCUGAAUAGGGCAAAGCCAGAGGAAACUCUGGUGGAGGCUCGUAGCGAUUCUGACGUGCAAAUNGNUCGUCAAAUNNGGUAU
rnacentral:rRNA from 1 species